UACGGGGGGAGCAAGCGUUGUUCGGAUUUACUGGGCGUAAAGGGCGCGUAGGCGGCGCAACAAGUCACUUGUGAAAUCUCCGGGCUUAACCCGGAGCGGCCAAGUGAUACUGUCGUGCUAGAGUGCGGAAGGGGCUACUGGAAUUCUCGGUGUAGCGGUGAAAUGCGUAGACAUCGAGAGGAACACCUGCGGCGAAGGCGGGUAGCUGGGCCGACACUGACGCUGAGGCGCGAAAGCCAGGGGAGCGAACGGG
rnacentral:rRNA from 1 species